AACGAACGCUGGCGGCAGGCCUAACACAUGCAAGUCGAACGCUCCGCAAGGAGAGUGGCAGACGGGUGAGUAACGCGUGGGAAUCUUCCUAUCGGUACGGAAUAGCUCAGGGAAACUUGAGGUAAUACCGUAUACGCCCUCAGGGGGAAAGAUUUAUCGCCGAUAGAUGAGCCCGCGUCUGAUUAGCUAGUUGGUGGGGUAAUGGCCUACCAAGGCGACGAUCAGUAGCUGGUCUGAGAGGAUGACCAGCCACACUGGGACUGAGACACGGCCCAGACUCCUACGGGAGGCAGCAGUGGGGAAUAUUGGACAAUGGGCGAAAGCCUGAUCCAGCCAUGCCGCGUGAGUGACGAAGGUCUUCGGAUUGUAAAGCUCUUUUGCCAGGGACGAUAAUGACGGUACCUGGAGAAUAAGCCCCGGCUAACUUCGUGCCAGCAGCCGCGGUAAUACGAAGGGGGCUAGCGUUGUUCGGAAUUACUGGGCGUAAAGCGCACGUAGGCGGAUUUGUUAGUCAGGGGUGAAAUCCCGGGGCUCAACCUCGGAACUGCCUUUGAUACUGCAAAUCUCGAGUCCGGAAGAGGUGAGUGGAAUUCCUAGUGUAGAGGUGAAAUUCGUAGAUAUUAGGAAGAACACCAGUGGCGAAGGCGGCUCACUGGUCCGGUACUGACGCUGAGGUGCGAAAGCGUGGGGUGCAAACAGGAUUAGAUACCCUGGUAGUCCACGCCGUAAACGAUGGAUGCUAGCCGUCGGCAAGCUUGCUUGUCGGUGGCGCAGCUAACGCAUUAAGCAUCCCGCCUGGGA
rnacentral:rRNA from 1 species